rnacentral:tRNA from 1 species
GGCAGGGUAGCUCAAUUGGUUAGAGCGUAGCAUUCAUAACGCUAAGGUAGCGGGUUCGAUCCCCGCCUCUGCUA